ensembl:lncRNA
GAGACUUCUAAUGAGGCUGAUUCAUAUCAUGAUGUAUUUUACAAGCUAUUCUCAGCAGAUUCGCUGCAAUAUGUCAUUCUUUAUGUACCAUGAGAGAUACAUGAGCACACAAGCUUGAGAAGGGUGGGGAAGUCUCUCUGAGAAACAGACGAGUUUUGCACCUCGUGCUGAGGAAGGAAAGAAUUGGAAGUUCACAUCAGCUAUUGCUUCCAAGUCCUCCAGACCUCAGGUCAGCUGCGAGCUCCACUCCAAUAAACGUGAACAUUACAAGAGCUGUGUCUUAAAACUUAUUUCCAAGGAAGUGUCUCAUUUUAUUGCAGCACAAAAAAAAGAGACUCCAAGGUAAUAUUUACUUUGCUUUACAUUUCAUAAAAAAAAGAAGACUGUAAUUUCAUGGAGGCUCUAACAGGAAUUCCUCUUUCCAUCCAAGCGGAAGAAAUUGUGUUCAGGACCUUUCCCCGAGGGCUCAAGGAAAGCACUUGAACAUGGAAACUCCCACUCCACUUUAUUUGUGAGUUAGCCCUGCAGGAGGAUGAGGCAGGAAUUGAGACGCUAUAAGUGGACUAAGUGGCCAAAGCCUGUGACAUUAAGGAGUAGGAAAGGAUGCUGAGAGGAUAAUCUCAGAGAUGCAGCUCUCCAGCUGAUGAAAAUCAGAAGAGCCAGAUAAUCACUGAGAGGGAUUCCCACCUAGAAAGAAGGCAAUUGCAGGGGCUUUAAGAAAAAGGGUGCAGUAGUUGCUCCAGUUCUGCCUGUCAUUCCUGCACCACUGCCUUUCCAAGCACUGUCUCUUAAGAUGCUGGAGGAGGGGCUGAGGCCCUUUUAAUGAAGUGAAAGGAUGAGCGGGAGGCUGACCAGAACAGCAGUGGAAAGAGCAAAGACACAUGCUGAGAGCCCUGUGCAUGGGGAAACCAGAGCCGCAGCUUGUUCCAGACCCCGGAGCCUCUGAAGCACAGAUGUCUCCAGGAAAUCUUCACGCUUCACCCCAACAGAGCUCUGGCCAGGAAAAGAAUCUCCUUGGUCUAUUUUAAGUUGUAAAAGGAAAGAAUAUGAGACUCUUCCUAAAUUCUUGAAACCGGUAUCUGGGCCUCUGGGAAUGAAGAAAGACUCUGACUGUGACUGCAUUUAGGGUAAUCCAUGAGUGUUGAACAUCUGGGAAUCAUCUUCUGUUUUCCGACAACUAUGAAGACUCUCAUACUUUGAGUAAGCUCUGCAAAGUUCAUUGUCCUGCCCAGCAGGUUUGUAAACUUUGUCAAAAGAACCAAGCAGAUGUUCUCCUGGGUCACUGGACAUCCAACUUUCUUACCUGCUUUGGAUGGGAAGUCACAUCAGUUUCAAUCUCUCCUACAUGGCUUUUGUAUGUAACGGCCUACAUUAAUUUGGUCAGCUUACACUAAGACACUCAGAAAAGCCAGGAAGCAUUCCAUUUCCACGAUAAAAAUAAAUGUUCAAGAUACUUCUUAGAAAUAUGCAUACAUUUUAAAAAUAAACCACACCAAAGAAAGUAAACAAAGCAAAAGCCUCUGCUAUUUUAUGAGACCAAUUUCAUUUCAAAGUGAAUUCAGACCUAUGACUUUGGUUAUGUCUGCUCUGGAACUUGAUAUCUGCCAGCAAGUCAGCAUCAGACAAAAUUUCCUGUGUGUUCAGGGAGAACCUGCAAGUGCAACUUCAUUCAGAGCACCAGAGUAACUCUGCAUCUUUCCCUGAGUGUGCAACAACCUCAGUCCUCUCCUACUGUUAUGUGUGCAUGCUCCAGCUAUGCGGACACAAAGUGAGUGUGCAAACACAUUGCACACUGAUAGUCCUUGAGGGUGCCCUCUGCAUCCCAUACUGACACAAGAAAUCCCUGUGAAGCAGGGAUACUAAGGCAAAAACAGACCUGUAGGAUUUGAAGGGGAGUUGUGCAUUCUCACCACCUUGUUUAACAGGGUCAAAGACUGUAUUUAAAAAAAAAAAGAAAAAGAAAGAAAUCAUAUUCUCAUUAGGGUCUGCAGGCUUGGCUUGCCUAAGAACUGAAAUAACUUACUGCACUGAAGUUAGACUUGGAUUGCAAACAUAGGGGAAUACUUAAACCCACGCUUGUAUUUCACAUACUUCACAGGUUCUGAAUACUAUGAAUAUCAACUUUGAAUUGCUGUUGCACUAGACAGCAGACCUGACCAGACAGUUGCAAACACACCUGAGUAACACAGCUUCAACUCUGAGUUUAACACGAAUAAGUCACCUGAGUCAAAUUUAUUCACGUGUCUUUUUAAAGGCUCCAGUUCUCUGCUCAGGAGCAAAGUGCUGACACUCUUACUAAAAAGACAAUUCAGCUGGUCACAAACAUCAGUGACUAUAUUUGCAUCUGCCAUCACAAAUAUAUUUUGGUUUUAGAUGGGGGAGAAAAGAAAACAAACACAACAUUUUCUGGUUAAACAGAAACAGAGUAUGGUAUCACUGAGACUUUCUAAAGGAGAGUUUAUUUAAUUUAUUCUUCUGUACACAUAGCUAGUUUGCUAGGAUAUUAUAACUCAACUCAUUUCUCUGGUGACCCAUGGCAACCUCUGGAUCAAAAGGAUUACUCGUGACUCAUAACUUACCUUGCCUAAAUAUAAAUAUAGGGCUUUAGGUUAAGUAAUCUAGGCCUUAAUCAAUAAAACAUUUAAAGUGACAGUACAAGGAGGGAUUUCAAAAGUUGUGCUAUUUUAAUAUUAACUCCUAAUACCUGAAUUUCUGGGGCUGUUCUUUUCUGGUUUUAACAGAGAUGCCCCACAUCAAGGAUUUUCCAUGCAUUUUGUACGCACAAGUACAGCUGCACACAGUUUGAAUGUUCUCCUGUUCCAUAGCAGACAUAUGCUCAUUUUCCCUCACAGGAAAUCCAAGCAAUUGCCCCUGUGUGGAAUACCACAAUUAGGUGACCAUAAUUGCAUACCUAAUGAGCUUGUACAUGUUUUGAGUGCCAGUUUCUCAGAUGUGGCCACCUAAAUGGGUAUCUAAAAUCUCACUUUUGGGUGGUGAGGUUGACAAAAAACGUAUGAAAGUCUUAUUUCAUAUACUUAAAUUGGACCAUUUAAAUGCCCAAUACUUUCUUAAGUGCCUGCAUUUCAAUAUCAUGUCUUAAGUGCAAAUCGCCCAACCUUGUGGGCUAGCAUUGGCAACCAGAUGUUGAGAAAAUACAAAUUGAAUAAAAUACGACUCUUUCAAAAGAAGACUGGAAACUUUCCAAAUAACUGCAGGGAUGUAAGGUUACGAAAUUGUUUCUUCUCAGCCUGGGAAAUCACAGGGUCAUUCCUGUUAGUAGCCACAGCAGUGGGUUGAGGAAAGCAGAUCGUCUUGGCCAGCCCACAGUGCCAACCCAAACCCUCUGUAUCCAGAUGAGCAGAGGGCUGAGCACAGGACAAGGACUCCGCACUCCCAAGUAAUACAGCUUCUACAACCCAUACGUUCUCCCUUCUUUUCCUGACUGAACUCAUGGAUGUUUGUUACAGCACUUUGGAAAGCUGUACUAAGACCAGUGAGUAUGGCCACCCCAAGGGUAGUAGAGCUGUACAUAGUGACAACAAGCUGGAGUCUUAGAUACCCAAAGCAUUUUAUGUUUUUUGUACAGCUUAGCUAGCCUGGGGCAAGGAAUGAAAUGCAGCAUGGUGUAGACCACAGCAAUUUCAAAGUGUACAGGCACAAAUAGAUUAUUACACUUUAUAUGAUGUAAAAUGACUUUCUGACCAAGAAGGAAGUCAAGAUAUUGAUAAGAAGCUGGUUUUAUCUGGAAUUAUUUUGGUAUUACUGACUAGCUAACACUCUGUAAACAAAUAUCAACUACGCUUUCUGUUGUCUGUAGUUCCACUGAUUUCAGUGGUGAAGGUCUGGGCUAAUAAACUUUCCUCAGAGCUUGAAUAGUCCAAUUUAGGAAUAGGUGGAAAUGCUAGUUUCAGUUACUAAAUAACUGCAUAUUUUCUUUCUGAGGGAAAGAGCAGGAUUUGUAUCUGGCUUUUAUUCUUGCCCAGGGUAAUGGAAAAGAGCAGAUUAAUUGCAGCUUUAGAAACCCUUCCAUGAGUUCUUUAGUAUGAAUUAUUUUAUAUAAUUCACAGAGAAGGUGACAUGAUUUACAUCAAUAUAUACAGUUAAAUUGUUCUAUAUUGUAAACCAUUAGCAAAGAAGGAUGAAGGGCUUAUGAAGAGGAGUGGAGAGACUAUAAUGUUAUGACAGAAUGAAAAAUUUCUGGGCAUGCAAGAAGACAUCACACUGUUUCCAUUGGAAGAUAGUUGUGUAUGUUUCCUACAGCAACUAUAAGAUCUUUGGCCUGUGCACUGUAGACUAUUCUCUGUUUAUUUUCAUUAUAUACCAGAACCUUUUUUACAGAAGAGCAGAGCAGACUGUACUUCAACUCCUAAAUUUGGGGGAGGAGGAAGUUCCACAAGGGUGUUAUGUGGCAGAGGGAUAUAACUCACAAUAAAUUGGUGUUAUCCGGUCACAUUGCUCAUCCAAGUCCUCAGUAAGGCAAGAAAAAUAUUUCUUACUGCACGGCUGGUUCUUGCAGAGGCAUGAAGAGCCGCUGCCCCAUGUUUCCAUUCCCAAAUGAAGGAGAAAUGUCCUCAGUGUCAGCACACAGGGCUUCAUUCAGAGCUGCUGGGAUGUGAAACCCUGAGUUGAGGGAGCAAGCGAGAGCAGAGGCCUCUUCCUCCAUCAAGCAUGGGAGCUUGCAGUGGGUGGGUUUCAUGCUGGAGGCUUCCACCGGAGGCUAUGAGUGGAUAAAAGAGUACAGCAAACCCCAACCCAAGUGGUUUACGCUGAGAAACAGAACUCGCUCUGAAGAAAAGGGUUGGGAACCCAGAUGGCACUGAGGGAAGAAGAGAGAAACUCUCUUAUUGUUGACACAGUUUAUCCUUCUCAGAAUAUAGUUUUGUUGUCCACUAUAAGCUGUAGUUCACCAUAAGGGAAAGGAGCACUUUCCAAGCCAUUACAGGACUCCUGAUUCUCUCUUCAGUUUGGUAGUGGCUUCAGCAUUGCAAGCUUUCUUUUUGGUGCUGAGUAUGCCUGAAGAAAAAUGAUCAACCCAACUCUUAAUCAUUCCUACAACUGUGUUUCAAGAAACAUUCUUGUUUUCUAAAAGGUGUUCAUUUUUUUCCCCUAGGGACCCAUUUAACUUUCCUUUCUAAUCUCCUAAUGAUCUGGAAUAAGGUCUUUAGUUGCUUUGCUUGUUGUGAAACAGCUUGGGGAGAUAGCUCCUAGUCCAUGUUAACCACACUUCAAAUACUCUUUGUAUGACUGAUGCAAAGCCAUAAUCUCCCAAAGCAAGUUUAUAACCAUUUUAACAACCAAGACUUAAGGAGGUUAUUGCAGGAUGGGCAGGGAGAGAGAGGUGAAGAACUGACCAAGGAAGCACAGUUCAGUUUGUCUUCCAAACAGCUCCAUAUCUCUUACAGCUUUACAAGGAUGAAGUGAUUGAUGAACAAACAAGAGGGCCUAAUCUCAAGUAAAGGAGAAGGGGGGAGGGGAGUAUUCUGACCAGCAGCCUUCUUCUGGAAGGUCAUACAAGCACAUUGCUAUUUCUUUGCAGUGAAGCAAAUGACUGAGUUUCAUAGGACUCAGAACCUUCAAACAGAAGUGAAACAUACCCUUGGGAUAAUGAAUUUUACAAGCUGUGAGGUCUGAAUGCACACACGUAGCAGCUGUGUGCUGUCCUUGGGGACAUCAAUGGAGAGUGUAAAAAAGAGGUAAAAACUUUGUAUUUUAACACCGAGGAAUAUAUUCCAUGAAGCUGUUCCUCAGUCAAAGUCUAUCUCUGACUUUUCUCUUUGGAUCUGCCUUUUAGGAAGAGAAACACUGCAUAUAUCAGGGACAGAAUACAGAUUUGGAUUUAAAAUUAAGAUGAUUUCAACAGCCCUUCAAAGAAGUCUCUCAAGAACAUAGUAAAACACACAGUCUUGUACACCAACAAAACUGCUUUGAGAGUACCUUCAUUUUUGACUGCUUUCUAUUUAUUCAAUUUCUUUUAAGUAAGCCUCAAUUAGUUUGGAGAUUCAAAUGUGGAGAAGAAGUAAGGGAAGCAAGAAGCUCAGCCCACCAAAUUGUGGCUCACUAGCAGAAUUUUCACAGCUUUAAAACAGUCUUCCUCCACAGGGCGCAGUGCUUCCGCCUAAACCUGCUUGUGAGAAUUUAUUAUCCCUGUGUGCAAGUCUUUGAAACCAGGAUUUUAACGGUAAUAAUUUCUCAGCAGUGAAAUUCAUGAGAGGCUGUAAUAUAAUGCCAAGUCUAUCCUAUUAUGGUUUUAAUUGGAAUAUACGUUUUAUGUGUUAUUAGAGCAAUGUUACUGUCCUCCUUAUGCUUAAUACUAUAUGAAUAGCUAAAGCCCUCUAAUGACCAUGUAAUUUAUUGUCCCUAUAGUUAUGGCAUUAAGCUACAAGUCACCUAAUACUUGCAAACAUUGUAAACUCCAAUUACAGCUACACCAGUGAUCCUUCUGUCAACUGAGCUAAAAAUGAGUCAAUGAUAAGGUUAAGCACUGAGCCACGUAACGCAGUUAUCUGGAGCUCAGCACCUGUACUACAGAGAAAUGUCCAAUAAACUAUGGUUAAAUAGUUUUACUUUGUUAUCAGAUAUAAGUAUAGCAAAUACAAUCAGCUUCCAGAAUGAUGUUGAUCACCAUCAUUCCAACAAUCUUUUAUGUAUUUGUCAGCUUUAUCCUAAUUUACUGCUAACAGUCAAUCACUGCUUCUCAAGAACCUGAGAGAUUUCACAGACACCAGGUUGGAUUCUGGCUACCCCUACAGAAAAUCUUGGAGGCUCAUGAAAGUAUUGCCUGCAGCUUCUAUUCAAGAGAAGCAUUGUCUUCAAAUACCUACAUAAUGUCUUCAAAUGAUGGCUGGACUAGAUAAUCUUAAAGGUCUUUUCCAGCCUGGAUGAUUCUAUGAUUCUGUGAAAAGUACUGUAGAAAAACAUAUUAAUCUUUAAGGUUUAUUUCCUUAUGGAUUACAUGUGUGUAUAUAUAUUCUCACAAACUGUAAAUUGCAUUUGUUUUGGAGACACAAGAGACACCAAAGAGAAUUGCAGCACCAGUUGCACUGGUAAUCUUAUAAAUGUCAGUGGAAAUUCUCUCCUGGCUGAUCCGUGAUAUAUGUGUAAUUCCUCUGGAUAAGCAUUCCUUUCAAAAGAAUACAUGUAGCAAAGUGAAUACAUAAAAUGGAUAAAUCAUCCAUCCUCAUUCGUGGUGUGUGAUUAUUCACUUGUACCACGUAACAUUUCUGCAGCCCAGAAGGUGAACUAAAUCGUACUAAAGAGGAAAACAAGAAAUUGGACAUUUCAACCACACAUUUUUUAAAAGGAAUGAGCAGUCAAACUACACUUUGUGACACAUUUGAGAUUUGUGUGUGGCUUCAUACGUUUUCCCAUGACCAUCCAAAUAUUCAUGGAGAAUUAAUAACAUGGUCCUAUCUUUAGCAAGUUCCAUUCAUUCUUAUUUGUAUCUGGCUAUAAUCAGCACAGAGACCCCAAAUAUUGGACGACUGCAUUUGAUUCUUGAGUUCUUUUCUUUUUGUUUAUGUCAAAGCAAAUUAGCUGGAAGGACCCUGACGAGGAAAUCGACCAAACAGUGGAAGGUCAAGAGGGCAUUUCACUGAAAUGUAAUAUAAUAAGUACAACUUAAACAGUGACAAAUCCCAUUCACCUCUUUUGUUUUCUUGAAAUGUUUAGAAUUAUUUUUAACCGUCUUUUUAAUAAAUAAAAUUGUUCUAUUGGUUUAUCAUACAUUUGGAUUUCAUUAAUUUUAGAAUAUAUUCCAGGCAUCUAAAAUUAAACAGAUGUCAUUGGGCUCAUUUAGACCUCAAAUAACCCUUGCAACAAAACCAAUUAUUCAAGGGUCAGCUGGAAGUUGGAAUUUAAUAAUAAAG